rnacentral:rRNA from 1 species
UCGGGAAUUUUGGGCAAUGGGCGAAAGCCUGACCCAGCAACGCCGCGUGAGGGAUGAAGUAUUUCGGUAUGUAAACCUCGAAAGAAUGGGAAGAAUAAAUGACGGUACCAUUUAUAAGCUCCGGCUAACUACGUGCCAGCAGCCGCGGUAAUACGUAGGGAGCAAGCGUUGUUCGGAUUUACUGGGCGUAAAGGGCGCGUAGGCGGCGCGGUAAGUCACUUGUGAAGUCUCUGAGCUUAACUCAGAACGGCCAAGUGAUACUGCUGUGCUAGAGUGCGGAAGAGGCAACCGGAAUUCUUGGUGUAGCGGUGAAAUGCGUAGAUAUCAAGAGGAACACCUGAGGCGAAGGCGGGUUGCUGGGCCGACACUGACGCUGAUGCGCGAACGCCAGGGGAGCAAACG